rnacentral:rRNA from 1 species
AUACGUAGGGUGCGAGCGUUGUCCGGAAUUACUGGGCGUAAAGAGCUCGUAGGUGGUUUGUCGCGUCGUCUGUGAAAUUCCGGGGCUUAACUCCGGGCGUGCAGGCGAUACGGGCAUAACUUGAGUACUGUAGGGGAGACUGGAAUUCCUGGUGUAGCGGUGAAAUGUGCAGAUAUCAGGAGGAACACCGGUGGCGAAGGGGGGUCUCUGGGCAGUAACUGACGCUGAGGAGCGAAAGCAUGGGUAGCGAACAGGAUUAGAUACCCUGGUAGUCCAUGCCGUAAACGGUGGGCGCUAGGUGUAGGGGUCUUCCACGACUUCUGUGCCGUAGCUAACGCAUUAAGCGCCCCGCCUGGGGAGUACGGCCGCAAGGCUAAAACUCAAAUGAAUUGACGGGG